GAUGAACGCUGGCGGCGUGCCUAAUACAUGCAAGUCGAGCGAAAAGACCAGGAGCUUGCUCCUCUGACGUUAGCGGCGGACGGGUGAGUAACACGUGUAUAACCUCCCUAUCAGACUGGGAUCACUUCGGGAAACCGGCGCUAAUACCGGAUAAUAUAUUGAACCGCAUGGUUCAAUGGUGAAAGACGGUUUUGCUGUCACUACUCGCUGGAUCCGCGCCGCAUUAGCUAGUUGGUGAGUUAACGGCUUACCAAGGCAACGAUGCGUAGCCGAGGUGAGAGGGUGAUCGGCCGCACUGGAACUGAGCCGCGGUCCAGACUCCUACGGGAGGCAGCAGUAGGGAAUGUUCCGCAAUGGGCGGAAGCCUGACGGAGCGGCGCCGCGUGAGUGAUGAAGGUCUUCGGAUCGUAAAACUCGGUUAUUAGGGAAGAACCAAUGUGUAAGUAACUAUGCACGGCUUGACGGUACCUAAUCAGAAAGCCACGGCUAACUACGUG
rnacentral:rRNA from 1 species